rnacentral:rRNA from 1 species
AUGGGCGAAAGCCUGAUGCAGCGACGCCGCGUGGGGGAUGACGGUCUUCGGAUUGUAAACCCCUUUCAGUAGGGACGAAGCGCAAGUGACGGUACCUGCAGAAGAAGCACCGGCUAACUACGUGCCAGCAGCCGCGGUAAUACGUAGGGUGCGAGCGUUGUCCGGAAUUACUGGGCGUAAAGAGCUCGUAGGCGGUUUGUCACGUCGUCUGUGAAAUCCCUCGGCUUAACCGGGGGCGUGCAGGCGAUACGGGCAGACUUGAGUACUACAGGGGAGACUGGAAUUCCUGGUGUAGCGGUGAAAUGCGCAGAUAUCAGGAGGAACACCGGUGGCGAAGGCGGGUCUCUGGGUAGUAACUGACGCUGAGGAGCGAAAGCAUGGGUAGCGAACAGGAUUAGAUACCCUGGUAGUCCAUGCCGUAAACGGUGGGCGCUAGGUGUGGGGUCCUUCCACGGACUCCGUGCCGUAGCUAACGCAUUAAGCGCCCCGCCUGGGGAGUACG